AAACAAAUAGGCUUGGUCCUGGCCUUUCUAUUGGCUCUUAGCAAGAUUACACAUGCAAGCAUCCCCAUCCCAGUGAAGACGCCCUACAAAUCAUCAUGACCAAGAGGAGCAAGCAUCAAGCACGCACACGCAGCUCAAAACGCUUUGCCUAGCCACACCCCCACGGGAGACAACAGUGACAAAUAUUUAGCAAUAAACGAAAGUUUAACUAAGCUAUGCUAUAUUAAGGGUUGGUCUAAUUUCGUGCCAGCCACCGCGGUCACACGAUUAACCCUAGCUAAUAGAGAUCGGCGUAGAGGGUGUUUAAGAUCUGACAUAAUAAAGCUAAACUCCAUCUAAACUGUAAAACCCUAGCUGAUGUAAAAUAAACUACGAAAGUGGCUUUAAAACUUCUGAACACACAAUAGCCAGGACUCAAACUGGGAUUAGACACCCCACUAUGCUUGGCCCUAAACCUCAAUAGUUAAAUAACAAAACUACUCGCCAGAAUACUACAAGCAACAGCUUGAAACUCAAAGGACUUGACGGUGCUUUACACCCCCCUAGAGGAGCCUGUUCCAUAAUCGAUAAACCCCGAUCCACCCCACCCUCUCUUGCUUAGCCUAUAUACCGCCAUCUUCAGCAAACCCUGAUGAAGGUUACAAAGUGAGCGCAAAUGCCCUCCACCGCAAAAACGUUAGGUCAAGGUGUAGCCCAUGAGACGGUAAAAAAUGGGCUACAUUUUCUAUCUCAGAAAACUCCACGAAAACUCUUACGAAAUCUAAGAGUCCAAGGAGGAUUUAGCAGUAAAUUAAGAAUAGAGUGCUUAAUUGAACCAGGCCAUAAAGCACGCACACACCGCCCGUCACUCCCCUCAAAUAUACUUAAGGAACAUCUUAACUAAACGCCCUAAUAUUUAUAUAGAGGGGAGAAGUCGUAACACGGUAAGUGUACUGGAAGGUGCACUUGGAUAAAUCAAGGC
rnacentral:ncRNA from 1 species